rnacentral:rRNA from 1 species
UACAGAGGUCUCAAGCGUUGUUCGGAUUCAUUGGGCGUAAAGGGUGCGUAGGCGGCGCGGUAAGUCGGGUGUGAAAUCUCGGAGCUUAACUCCGAAACUGCAUUCGAUACUGCCGUGCUUGAGGACUGGAGAGGAGACUGGAAUUUACGGUGUAGCAGUGAAAUGCGUAGAUAUCGUAAGGAAGACCAGUGGCGAAGGCGGGGCUCUGGACAGUUCCUGACACUGAGACACGAAGGCCAGGGGAGCAAACGGG